GGUAAUACGGAGGGUGCAAGCGUUAAUCGGAAUUACUGGGCGUAAAGCGCACGCAGGCGGUCUGUCAAGUCGGAUGUGAAAUCCCCGGGCUCAACCUGGGAACUGCAUUUGAAACUGGCAAGCUAGAGUCUUGUAGAGGGGGGUAGAAUUCCAGGUGUAGCGGUGAAAUGCGUAGAGAUCUGGAGGAAUACCGGUGGCGAAGGCGGCCCCCUGGACAAAGACUGACGCUCAGGUGCGAAAGCGUGGGGAGCAAACAGGAUUAGAUACCCUGGUAGUCCACGCUGUAAACGAUGUCGACUUGGAGGUUGUUCCCUUGAGGAGUGGCUUCCGGAGCUAACGCGUUAAGUCGACCGCCUGGGGAGUACGGCCGCAAGGUUAAAACUCAAAUGAAUUGACGGGGGCCCGCACAAGCGGUGGAGCAUGUGGUUUAAUUCGAUGCAACGCGAAGAACCUUACCUACUCUUGAC
rnacentral:rRNA from 1 species